rnacentral:rRNA from 1 species
UACGGAGGGUGCAAGCGUUAAUCGGAAUUACUGGGCGUAAAGCGUGCGCAGGCGGUUUGUUAAGUCUGUUGUGAAAUCCCCGAGCUCAACUUGGGAAUUGCAAUGGAUACUGGCAGGCUGGAGUAUGGUAGAGGAAGGUGGAAUUCCCGGUGUAGCAGUGAAAUGCGUAGAGAGUCGGGAGGAACACCAGUGGCGAAGGCGGCCUUCUGGACCAAUACUGACGCUCAUGCACGAAAGCGUGGGAGCAAACAGG